rnacentral:lncRNA from 10 species
GGAAGAGUGAGUGGCCCUGGAGCUGGGCCUUCCAGUAGGAGCAGGGUUUCUGCAGGGAAGCAGAGAGAGGAGCCCGGGAGAAGGCACACGAUGAGGAAACUGCCGCUCAGAGACGGCAGCCGACCCAGCCAAGGCCGCACAGCCAGGAUUCAAAGCCAUACCGCUCAGCUCCUGCCUCCAGGCUCUGCCUUUGCAUGUGGCUUCUCCUGGCUCCUGGACCCUUCCCCGGCCCUCCCAGCUGGCUGUGCUGUGACAGUGGGCGGGGGAGUGCCAAGGCUCUGCCCUGCCCCCCGCCCUUGGCAUCUCCGGUCAAUAUGGCACUCACAGCUCCCUGGGCAUGGACCCCCUCCUGCCAUCCCCACUUAAAGUGAUACUUUAAUAAAUUAUGCUUUUAUGUUAUUACACGUGGAGCUAUAAAAGCAGAGAGUGUGCGGCCGGGCUGAGGUAAGGCGCCCGCGACUUUCCAAUUUCCUGGUCUGGCCUGGCUCUGCUCCGCACCGUGAAUUUUUCAUUAAUGUGCACAGGUGACGCCACGGGGCAGCCGCAGGCCAGUCAUAGUUACAGAGGCAAUGGACACAUUGAAGAGAGGAAAGAAAACAAACACGACCUAGAAUCUACGGGGAAGGAAGCCUUCUAGACUCCAGACCUUCCGUGUCCAGAAGUGUCAGUCUUCACAUCUGUGAGGUGGGGCCAAGGAGUCCUGCCCUGCCAUGCUGGGUGUUGACUUCGGGGAAGGGGCCUUGGGAUGUCUAUGAGGAUGCAGCUGCUGCCUUCUGUCUUGGCAGAGACCAUGGCCACCCCAGGACACCGUGUUUGGUCCCCGCUGUGCUAAGUCUCCUCCAGGCACCAGCCAGGCAUCAGUGGAGCACAGCGGAAAUGGGUCCAAAGCCACCCACAGAGGCUCUGUGUGGUUCUUGGAUAAUUCUGGAAGGCUCUAGAGAAGGCAACAAGAAGGCAGGAACCCAGGGCCAGAAACUGGACAACUUGUGUGUGUUUGUCUGUAAAGUGGGGCUAGGAAUCCGCGUGGGGGUCAAAUGAGAACAGCUCUGCCUCCCAGCGCACAGUCCCGCGUCGAGGUCAGAGAGCCUCUUAGGCCCUGGCUCUUUUGGGAAAUCAUCCCAGGGGCUAAAGACAAAACUGAAGUUGAAAUAAACAUGGGGGUCCAAACACUCCAGAAUUCUGAGUGAGGGAAUCUCCUCCCAGGCUUCCACGCCAGGCCCGAAUGCAAACAAGAGGCAGCAGGGGUGGCUUGGGCCCCUCACACAGAAUUAGUGAGAUUAGCUGAGAACCAGAGCCCAGCAGAUGUCCCCUCUCUGGACUCGGUGACUCACUUGCCUCCCUGGUUGAGAAUCGUAUCCGGCUGGGCCUGAGCUGUCCUGGCUGGCGGGGAGCUGGACGCAGGGCAGAGGUCGGGGUAAACACCCGUGCUCCAGGCGGGAGGUCGGGAUGGGGGUGGUGACAAGGAGGACAACAUUUCCACUCAGCAGAAAGAAGAGCCUGAGCUGCCCUAGAGCCGGAGGCGCUGCCUGGAGAGGUCGUGAGGACCCGGUCCCAGAGGUGUGCAAGCUGGGUACCCUUUGAAGACUAUAGGAGGAUUCCAGUUGGCGCUGGGAGUACUCCAGGCAGGAUGCCAGUUCAGGUCCUUCGUGCAUGAGACUCUCCCAGAGAGGCAGGCAAACAUUUUCUGGGAAGGGCCAGAUAGUAAAUAUUUCAGGUUUUGCGGGUCAUCCUGCUAUCUCUGUUGCAACUGCUCAACUCUGCCACUGUAGCUUGGAAGCAGCUACAGACAAUACAUAAAUGAAUGGAUGUGGG